rfam:Camelus ferus unplaced genomic scaffold scaffold398, whole genome shotgun sequence.
GAGGGUGUAGCUCAGUGGUAGAGCACGUGCUUAGCAUGCACAAGGUCCUGGGUUCAGUACCUCCA